CCCACCAAUAAACCUGAUCUCUCCGUACAAAAGCCGAGAUAAACACAUAAGACGAGAAGACCCUGUGGAGCUUUAAGCCCUGCACCAACACACCAUUGACAGCACGCUUUCAGUUGGGGCGACUACGGAGCAAAACGAAACCUCCGCAACACCACUGUAACCCAAGACCCACACGUCAAAUUAAAAACUUUACGACCCAGUCUAACUGAUCAUCGAACCAAGUUACCCCAGGGAUAACAGCGCCAUCCUCCCCAAGAGUCCAUAUCGCCAGGAGGGCUUACGACCUCGAUGUUGGAUCAGGACACCCAGGUGGUGCAGCCGCUACCAAAGGUUCGUUUGUUCAACGACUAAUGUCCU
rnacentral:rRNA from 1 species